rnacentral:rRNA from 1 species
AUCAUUACCUAGAGUUUGUGGACUUCGGUCUGCUACCUCUUACCCAUGUCUUUUGAGUACCUUCGUUUCCUCGGCGGGUCCGCCCGCCGGUUGGACAACAUUCAAACCCUUUGCAGUUGCAAUCAGCGUCUGAAAAAACUUAAUAGUUACAACUUUCAACAACGGAUCUCUUGGUUCUGGCAUCGAUGAAGAACGCAGCGAAAUGCGAUAAGUAGUGUGAAUUGCAGAAUUCAGUGAAUCAUCGAAUCUUUGAACGCACAUUGCGCCCCUUGGUAUUCCAUGGGGCAUGCCUGUUCGAGCGUCAUUUGUACCUUCAAGCUCUGCUUGGUGUUGGGUGUUUUGUCUCGCCUCCGCGCGCAGACUCGCCUUAAAACAAUUGGCAGCCGGCGUAUUGAUUUCGGAGCGCAGUACAUCUCGCGCUUUGCACUCAUAACGACGACGUCCAAAAGUACAUUUUUACACUCUUGACCUCGGAUCAGGUAGGGAUACCCGCUGAACUUAAGCAUAUCAAUAAGCGGAGGAAAAGAAACCAACAGGGAUUGCCCUAGUAACGGCGAGUGAAGCGGCAACAGCUCAAAUUUGAAAUCUGGCGUCUUUGGCGUCCGAGUUGUAAUUUGCAGAGGGCGCUUUGGCAUUGGCAGCGGUCCAAGUUCCUUGGAACAGG